ACAAUACAUUACGGUGUAAGAAUAUGAAAAAAGUUUGUAUUUUCCAGAAGAAAAGACGUUGAAACGAACGAACCAUGUUGUACACACUAUGUUUUUUGGUUACAGUGCAUGCAACGGUUACAGCUCGCUAAUGAGUAGGUACCCGCCUAAAAAGACAUGUUUUUUAUGGACUUGAAUGUACAAUUAAGGUUUUAUAAAUUGUCUGUUUGUUCAUAUUUUUGGCUAAUGUUUUAUAGUCCACAUAACAGGCAACGAAUCCUGUGCCUGAUUUUCUUCCCAAACGUGAUUCCAAUUUAUUAUUAGGUUAAAUAUUAAAAAAAAAAUAUGUAAAACUAGGUUUCGUAUAUACCUUUUUAAAAUAAAUAUAAUAUGGAAUUUUAUGUAUGUAAAUAUUAAUAUUUUCGUAAACAUGACCAAAGUUUGAAAAAUUGUUGAUCGAUAACUUGCCAGAAUAUUAUUAUGUAUUUUUUUGUUAUGUAAUUUAUAUUAAACGUUUAAUUUCUUAUGAAAAUUCGAAUUUACAAAAUAUCGAAAUAUUUUUACCUAUUAUGAGUACCUUUGUUUUUAUAGAUUAAGGUUUUUGAUUAUUUUUUUACAUAGUUUAAUUGCGUUAUCAUACUUUGUUUUUGAUAUAAUAUACUUACUGACCUCUCCAUUCGAUUUGGAAGAUGGUAACCAUAGAUAGAUGUUGGACUACUACUCCAAAUAAAGUGCCAUUCUGUAAUAAAAAGCAUUGAUUUUCUUUGGAGACAGUAGAUAUACAAGUGACGUUACACAUAAUAUUAUUAUUUCCAUAUUGACCACAGUGAAGUGUUAAAGUAUAUAAAAAGUAGAUUCUUUGAUGGUGUCUAUAGUACCCUAUUUCUAAUGGUUUUUGUCCUUGUUUUUGCAGUUUAUUCUGCGUUAUAUUUACUGGAUUUAAAUGUUUAUUAUUAUAAGUAUUAAAGACUAAGAGAGAUCUUAAAAAGUACCUUGGUAAUUUUAUAAACAAAACGAGUACCUAUGAAAUAUUAUCAGUGUUGUAAUAUUCCUUUAAUUAAAAUAUAUCUUACAAAAUAUUUUAUGAUAUGACAUACCAUUUACAAGUAGUUUACUAUUAAUGUAAAUAAGUUAAAAGUAAUUUUAUAUAGCUUAAACGUUUUUGAAUAUCAGUACAUUAGUAUAUUCGACAUUUUGAAUGUGCAAUAUCAAUUUAAUGCAACUUUGGUGCGCGUUGUGCUGAUUUGACAGUUGUCCUUUUUAUAAAAAAUAUUAUUGCUUAGAUUUAAUAAACGUGUUAUAUUACAGUAUGUUUUAUUUAGAUGUCGUACCUUACAUUUGAUGUCACUGUAUAGAUGUGAAUCUAGAGUAGAACUACACUGAACUGUCCUUUAUUUGACAGUGACAGGGGGCCACCGUCUAUAGCGGAUCGCUAGUUCCGAUUUUUGCCACGGUGGAAACCAUGUAGUUGAACGAAGAUAGUCGUCGGUGG